rnacentral:lncRNA from 1 species
GGGACUUUUGGCAGGUAGUUAGGUCAUAGGUGUGCAAUACUGGAUUAUGGAAAUGAUAGUUGGAUUAGUCCACUGAUUGGUUUAGCAUGAUUUUGGGUGUGGAUAAUGGGAAGACCCACCCUAGGUGUGGGUGGCACCAACCAAUAGGCUUGUAGCCUGGGUAAAAUAAAAAGGGAAAGGGAGACUCACUGCUGGCUGCUUUCUACCUGCCGUGCUGUGGACCAUUUCUCCUCUGCCAUGUCCUUCUGCCAAGUUGCCCUGCCUUGCAACCAGUCUUGGACUAAACCUGCUACAAACUGGAUUGAACUCAGGACCUUGCACUUGCAAGGCAGGCACGGUACCACUGAGCUAAAUCCCCAGGCCUUCUGAAACUCUCUUAAAAGAUAGUUGACCUCUAUGCAUUCUACACUGGCCUUCGCCCUUUUUCUCCUUCAAUGUGUUGUCACGCAGAGCUCAAGUACUUUUCCCGCACUAUGCAGUUACACCUACAGAUGUUGUGCUUGCAAAAUGUAAAGAACCAAGGUCCCUCCUGAUCACUAUUCAUCAGCCACCAUAUCAGCCCUCUACUACCUGUAUCUGGAUUUCUUUUAUGUCAAAGAGAAAUAAAUCUCUGUCUUGUUUAAGUGCUGCUAAUUUGGGUUUUUCUGUGGAUGCAGAUGAACCCUAACAAGCAUCAAAGAUCACUUGGCCCCACUCAUUCAGCCAGUUUAUUCAAAUGCCAGAAUAUUUGUUUUUUGUUUUUUCGGUACUGGGGAUCGUACUUGGGACCUUGCACCUGUGACGCAGGCGGCGGAACCACUGAGCUAAACCCUCGGCUUUUUCCCUUUAUUUCUACCACAGCCCUCAGGGUGAAGCCCCAUCUUGCUCACCUCUUCUACUUUGGCAGCCUUCUAACCAGUACUCUGUUUUAAUUUUUUGUUGCCAUCUAACCAUUCUCCACACAGC